rnacentral:rRNA from 1 species
UACGGGGGGUCCAAGCGUUGUUCGGAAUCACUGGGCGUAAAGCGCAUGUAGGUGGCUUUUCAAGUCAACUGUGAAAGCCCAGGGCCUAACCCUGGAAGUGCAGUUGAUACUGUUGAGCUUGAGUACGAGAGAGGAUAGUGGAAUUCCUGGUGUAGUGGUGAAAUACGUAGAUAUCAGGAGGAACACCGGUGGCGAAGGCGGGUCUCUGGGCCGAUACUGACGCUGAGGAGCGAAAGCGUGGGGAGCGAACAGG